UACAGAGGGUGCAAGCGUUAAUCGGAAUUACUGGGCGUAAAGCGUGCGCAGGCGGUUUUGUAAGCCAGAUGUGAAAGCCCCGGGCUUAACCUGGGAAUGGCAUUUGGGACUGCAAGGCUGGAGUGCGGCAGAGGAGACUGGAAUUCCCGGUGUAGCAGUGAAAUGCGUAGAUAUCGGGAGGAAUACCGAUGGCGAAGGCAGGUCUCUGGGCUGACACUGACGCUCAUGCACGAAAGCGUGGGGAGCAAACAGG
rnacentral:rRNA from 1 species